rnacentral:sRNA from 10 species
CCAAGGAAUGUCAAAAUAUCUUUGCCUUGAGAAAACCCACACCUUUGGAAAGAAAAAGAGAGAGAAUCAGCUUUGAAGCAAAGAGAGAAAGGAAAAAAGGAAGAAAGGAAGAAAGAAAGAAUGGAGAAAGAAGAAAAAGACAAGGAAGGUUUGACCUAGUGGUUCCAAGCUAAGGAAGGUAUGUAGAGCUUUGAUUUUAGUUGUGAUUUCUUGAGGAGAUGAGUUGGUAAUUGUGUGAGAAUGUUUAUGGCAACAAAGGUCCUCCAAGAAUUGAAAGAAAUAGAUCCAUGCUUAUGGGUCAAUCUUGGAAUCCAUGGUGAUUUUGAGCUAGAUAAGUUAUGGGAAGCGUAUAAGUAGAGAGGUUGCUAUGGUGGCGUGCCGGAGGAAGUAACAGGUGAUCAGCAAGUAGAAUUAGCUAGAUACGCAUCCGAGUCAAUAGCAAAGUAGUAUCCUGCUAUUGUGAGAUAGUGAUCGGCCUAAUGUGCAAUCAUCGGCACUUAUGGUUCACUGCGGAUAGGUAAAGGCAUCUUAUAGCAUUUCAUUCUGAGUUACUCCGUUGUUAGAGGUUGAGUCAUUUGUAGCAUAAUUUGAUUAUAAAUAGUAUUAAUGUAAAGGUAUGGUUGUAUAUUAAAAACCUUAAUGUACUUCUACAAUUAUGUUGAAUAAAAGUUG